rnacentral:tRNA from 1 species
GGCGCCGUGGCCAAGUGGUAAGGCAAGAGUCUGCAAAACUCUGACCAGCGGUCCGAACCCGCUCGGCGCCU